AACGAACGCUGGCGGCAGGCCUAACACAUGCAAGUCGAACGCUGUAGCAAUACAGAGUGGCAGACGGGUGAGUAACGCGUGGGAACAUGCCCUUCGGUUCGGAAUAACUCAGGGAAACUUGAGCUAAUACCGGAUACGCCCUUAGGGGGAAAGAUUUAUUGCCGAAGGAUUGGCCCGCGUCCGAUUAGCUAGUUGGUGAGGUAAUGGCUCACCAAGGCGACGACCGGUAGCUGGUCUGAGAGGAUGAUCAGCCACACUGGGACUGAGACACGGCCCAGACUCCUACGGGAGGCAGCAGUGGGGAAUAUUGGACAAUGGGCGCAAGCUUGAUCCAGCCAUGCCGCGUGAGUGAUGAAGGCCCUAGGGUUGUAAAGCUCUUUCGCCAGGGACGAUAAUGACGGUAGUCGGAGAAGAAGCCCCGGCUAACUUCGUGCCAGCCGCCGCAGUAA
rnacentral:rRNA from 1 species